UACGGGGGGGGCAAGCGUUGUUCGGAAUUACUGGGCGUAAAGGGCUCGUAGGCGGCCAACUAAGUCAGACGUGAAAUCCCUCGGCUUAACCGGGGAACUGCGUCUGAUACUGGAUGGCUUGAAUCCGGGAGAGGGAUGCAGAAUUCCAGGUGUAGCGGUGAAAUGCGUAGAUAUCUGGAGGAAUACCGGUGGCGAAGGCGGCAUCCUGGACCGGCAUUGACGCUGAAUAGCGAAAGCCAGGGGAGCAAACGGG
rnacentral:rRNA from 1 species